rnacentral:rRNA from 1 species
UGAGGAAUAUUGGUCAAUGGGCGCAAGCCUGAACCAGCCAUGCCGCGUGAAGGAUGACGGCGCUAUGCGUUGUAAACUUCUUUUGUACAGGAAGAAACACUCUGACGUGUCAGAGCUUGACGGUACUGUACGAAUAAGCAUCGGCUAACUCCGUGCCAGCAGCCGCGGUAAUACGGAGGAUGCAAGCGUUAUCCGGAUUUAUUGGGUUUAAAGGGUACGUAGGCGGAAAAUUAAGUCAGUGGUGAAAUCCUGCAGCUUAACUGUAGAACUGUCAUUGAUACUGGUUUUCUUGAAUAUAGUUGAGGUAGGCGGAAUGUGUAAUGUAGCGGUGAAAUGCUUAGAUAUUACACAGAACACCGAUUGCGAAGGCAGCUUACUAAGCUAUGAUUGACGCUGAGGUACGAAAGCGUGGGGAGCGAACAGG